rnacentral:rRNA from 1 species
UAGGGAAUAUUGGGCAAUGGAGGGAACUCUGACCCAGCCAUGCCGCGUGCAGGAUGAAGGCGUUAUGCGUUGUAAACUGCUUUUAUAUAGGAAGAAAUAGUCCUUGCGAGGAAAGUUGACGGUACUAUAUGAAUAAGCACCGGCUAACUCCGUGCCAGCAGCCGCGGUAAUACGGAGGGUGCAAGCGUUGUCCGGAUUUAUUGGGUUUAAAGGGUGCGUAGGCGGUUUAUUAAGUCAGUGGUGAAAGACGGUCGCUCAACGAUUGCAGUGCCAUUGAUACUGGUAGACUUGAGUAUGAUUGAGGUAGCUGGAAUGGAUAGUGUAGCGGUGAAAUGCAUAGAUAUUAUCCAGAACACCAAUUGCGUAGGCAAGUUACUAAGUCAUAACUGACGCUGAGGCACGAAAGUGUGGGUAUCAAACAGGAUUAGAUACCCGUGUAGUCCCUGAGCGGGCUGGCAAGGCG